rnacentral:rRNA from 1 species
GACGAACGCUGGCGGCGUGCUUAACACAUGCAAGUCGAACGCUGAAGCUCAGCUUUUGUUGGGUGGAUGAGUGGCGAACGGGUGAGUAACACGUGAGUAACCUGCCUCCUUCUUUGGGAUAACGCCCGGAAACGGGUGCUAAUACUGGAUAUUCACUGGUCUUCGCAUGGGGGCUGGUGGAAAGGGUUUUUCUGGUGGGGGAUGGGCUCGCGGCCUAUCAGCUUGUUGGUGGGGUGAUGGCCUACCAAGGCUUUGACGGGUAGCCGGCCUGGGAGGGUGACCGGUCACAUUGGGACUGAGAUACGGCCCAGACUCCUACGGGAGGCAGCAGUGGGGAAUAUUGCACAAUGGGCGCAAGCCUGAUGCAGCGACGCCGCGUGAGGGAUGGAGGCCUUCGGGUUGUGAACCUCUUUCGCUCAUGGUCAAGCCGCAACAAUGGUUGUGGUGAGGGUAGUGGGUAAAGAAGCGCCGGCUAACUACGUG